CGGACACAUAGCCGUUUGCAGCCGGGAGGUUAGGGACUCCUGCUUACGGUGUAUAUCUAGAAGCAGGCUAAUCGAGCUUUAUCCAUCUUCAAACCCAGUAAUGGCCCAUGGAAUGCUUCUCAUGCCUCAAAUCUCUUUGUCUUCCCAUUCUGCUACCUGACUGUAAAGUUCUCACAUGAACUGUGCCACAAUACACAUAUCAAAGACUUGGAACCAAUC
rnacentral:lncRNA from 1 species